AGAGAAUUAACUAGUUGGAAGAAAGUCAACAACUGCCCUUUGAAGGUUUCUCUGAAGCACUCUGAGCUGGGAGCCACACUGGAAAGGCCUGAUCCAAUCCAGAGGUGCACAGACACACGUUAACCAAGCUUCUUUGGACAGCAAUAAAACGGCACAUUUGGUUCCAUUUGGGAUUUCAGAGAUGAUUCAGGCUAGCGACUCACAAUAAUUACCCCAAUACUGGGGUUCUACUCAGCAUGGUUCUCCCACGCCCCAGGCCUUGGCUUCCACCCCCUGCCAUUGAUUUCAAAAUAACUCAUCGGGUGCUGCAAGGAGAGGCAGAAAAAUGAUGGCCCCAGCGAAGGUUCUGUGGACACAGCAGCUGGAGAAAAAGGAAGAGAAGAGGAACUUGGAGAUAAAGCUGCCCCCACCCCACCUCACCAGCAGGCCUGCCUUGCAGCUGAUAAGAACCCUUACUAGUUGUAAUGAGAGCUCUGUCUGCCUGUUUCCUCACAAAGUCAUGACUCAGGGAUAAUGUUCACAUCCUCAGAACAGCAAGGGAGCUAAAAAUACAGCCAGGAAAAUGAGAAUGAGAGCGAGCAUGAAUGAGUGUGUGAGCAAGAAAUGCACUAGGGAGAAGAGA